CAAUUAUCUGCCAUAUGAUACAUGUUUUUUCUCUCAUCCAGGCUCAGCCACUUCCUCAACCACUCUACUCCGCAAUUUUCCCCCUCUACACAAACGAAGACGAGAGAGAUGGAGGUUUUGAGGUCAUUACGGGUAGCCGGAUUGAAUGAGAAACAAUCAAUUGGCUGGCGAAGAAGGAUGAAAUGUAAAGGAAAGCCUUCACCAUGUUCUGAAUUACCAUAUUAAAGACUUACAGUGCUAUCAGGCUUGACCCCACCAGACACUGCGUCUCUUCCCUGGUGAUGCUCUGCAAGGCCUGUA
rnacentral:lncRNA from 1 species